rnacentral:tRNA from 1 species
CACUGAAAAGCUAAAUCGGGGUUAGCGUUAGCCUUUUAAGCUAAAGAUUGGUGACUCCCAACCACCUUCAGUGA